rnacentral:rRNA from 1 species
UACGUAGGGUGCGAGCGUUAAUCGGAAUUACUGGGCGUAAAGCGUGCGCAGGCGGUUCGUUAAGACAGAUGUGAAAUCCCCGGGCUUAACCUGGGAACUGCAUUUGUGACUGGCGAGCUAGAGUAUGGCAGAGGGGGGUAGAAUUCCACGUGUAGCAGUGAAAUGCGUAGAGAUGUGGAGGAAUACCGAUGGCGAAGGCAGCCCCCUGGGCCAAUACUGACGCUCAUGCACGAAAGCGUGGGGAGCAAAC